rnacentral:rRNA from 1 species
UACGAAGGGUGCAAGCGUUAAUCGGAAUUACUGGGCGUAAAGGGUGCGUAGGCGGUUCGUUAAGUCUGUCGUGAAAUCCCCGGGCUCAACCUGGGAAUGGCGAUGGAUACUGGCGAGCUAGAGUGUGUCAGAGGAUGGCGGAAUUCCCGGUGUAGCGGUGAAAUGCGUAGAGAUCGGGAGGAACAUCAGUGGCGAAGGCGGCCAUCUGGGACAACACUGACGCUGAAGCACGAAAGCGUGGGGAGCAAACAGG